CACUGUCCUACACACACUAGGGACAAUUUAGAUUCAUCAGCCUACAAACCUGUACGUCUUUGGAGAGUGGGAGGAAACCCAAGAUCUUGGAGAAAACACACAUAGGUCAUGAGGUGAACGUACAAACUCCCUACAGACAGCACCAAUGGUCAGAAUCAAACCCAGGUCUCUGGCGCUGCAAGGCAGUAGCUCUAACACUGUGUUCGCCUGAUCCUCUGUAGCUACCAGCCACCCAUCUCACAUUGCACGUCCUCCAUGAUUGGCUCCCAUGCAGGGCUCAAACUCCAAGGGAACCACCAUUCAUGUCAGGUGACUUUCCCUCCUCUGUUCCACACACAUGCCUCUAAGAAUUGCUGAGUACCUUUAAUCAUCCGAGCCCCUGGGAAGGCUGGUAUUACAUGGCCAAUGAUCAACCGUUCUAGCCAUUCAGUACAUUCACUCUGCUCACACAUGCUCAGCACGGUGGUGCAACGGUAGAGUUGCUGCCUUACACCACUAGAGACAGGGUUCGAUCCUGACUAUGGGUGCUCUCUGUAAGGCGUUUUUCUCCGGGAUGCUCCGGUUUUCACCCACAAUCCAAAGACGUACAGGUUUGUAGGCUAAUUGGCUUCGUAAAUCUGCAAUUUGUCCCUGGCAUGUGCAGCAUAAAGUCAGUGUGCGGGGAUCGAUGGUCAGCACGAACUCGGUGGGCCGAAGGGCCUGUUUCUGCUCUGUAUCUCCGAACUAAACUAAACUAAACUAAAAGCACUUGACAUUAACUACACAUUGGACAUUCUAUGUAUUAUAAAAGCCCACAACACAAAGUGGGUCAGUAGAUUUAAGGCAUAAGGUAUCUUAUAUUACUUUUGAUGACAAUGCUCUCUGAAAUUUGACCUUGCUUUUUCUUUCAUCAGUUGAGCAGGUUGUCAUUCUCAGUGACAAACGCAGGCAAUUGAAUCAGAGUCUCAUUGUGCAAACACUGCAGCUUUUUUUGAAACAUUCAUUCGAAUGCUCGCCUUUUAUUUGUCCACACAGUGAGGAAGCCACACCUUGCUUACCUGCUGCAGCUCAAGGCCCUUGUCCGAUGAAAGAAAGCUUGAGUCACUCGCCCCUACUUGCCUCAAGUUAUGGGGCAUCGCAUCUCCCUGCCUCCAGCUGCUGAAUAAUGAUUUAUCUAACUUCAAGUAACAAAGGUUGGCACGGUGGCACAAGGGCUUGCAACGCCGGACACCCAGUGAUAUGGAUUCGCCAUGGCUCUUGUGUGACAAGCAACUAUCAGCAGAUAAAGACUUUAUAGAAGUGAGAUCGACCGACUGACCAUAUGGUGCCAGCACAAUAACUUGACUCUCAACACCAGCAAAACCAAGGAACUGAUUGUG